AUUUUGACUUGCUUGAACAUUUCUUUAUUAGCUUGUUGGUGUUGGUUUUGCUUGUCAGCUACACUAUUCAUUUCUGGAGUAACACUUCAUACUAAGGCAGUUGGUGCUUCUUGACUGAACAGGCCAGUUGUAAUUUCUCUGCACUCUACAGUGAUGUCAGUUUUCUUCAACUCAAGAAGGGCAGUUUGCACGACUCUUAAACGUGAUGACUAUUUCUCCAGUAUCUUCCUAGAAGUAUAACUAGAAGAAGGGUUGUUUCCAUAACUUGACUUCUGAGAAUAAUACCACAAUGAACAUGGGAAUACAGACAUCUUUUUUACAUUUGGACUUCAAUUACAUUGGAUACACAUACAGAAGUGGGAUUGCUGGCACAUACGUCUCACCAUCAUCUGUUACAUUUGGACCUUUUAAAUAACAGCCAUUCUGACUGAGGU
rnacentral:lncRNA from 1 species